rnacentral:rRNA from 1 species
CGAACGCUGGCGGCGUGCCUAACACAUGCAAGUCAAACGGGUGGUAGCAAUACCAUCAGUGGCGCACGGGUGAGUAAUGCAUGGGUGAUCUGCCUUUUAGAGGGGGAUAACUACGCGAAAGUGUAGCUAAUACCGCAUAAGCAGUACCGAGUGAGUUAGGUACUGGAAAGAUGGGGACCGCAAGGCCUAUCGCUAAGAGAUGAGCUCAUGUCCCAUUAGCUUGUUGGUAGGGUAAUGGCCUACCAAGGCGAAGAUGGGUAGCUGGUCUGAGAGGACGAUCAGCCACACUGGAACUGAGACACGGUCCAGACUCCUACGGGAGGCAGCAGUGGGGAAUAUUGCGCAAUGGGCGAAAGCCUGACGCAGCAACGCCGCGUGGGUGAUGAAGGCCUUCGGGUUGUAAAGCCCUUUCGGCCGGGAAGAAGGGUGUACGGGUGAAUAAUUCGUGCAUUUGAUGGUACCGGAGGAAGAAGCACCGGCAAACUUCGUGCCAGCAGCCGCGGUAA